rnacentral:rRNA from 1 species
UCGAGGAUCUUCGGCAAUGGGCGAAAGCCUGACCGAGCGACGCCGCGUGCGCGAUGAAGGCCUUCGGGUUGUAAAGCGCUUUAGUGGGGGAGAAAAGGGUAAAACCUUGAUCUAUCCCAAAAAUAAGCUCGGGCUAAGUUCGUGCCAGCAGCCGCGGUAAGACGAACCGAGCGAACGUUGUUCGGAAUCACUGGGCUUAAAGGGCGCGUAGGCGGGCUGUCAAGUCUGGGGUGAAAUCCCGCGGCUCAACCGUGGAACUGCCUUAGAUACUGACGGCCUCGAGGGAGAUAGGGGCGAGCGGAACUGUGAGUGGAGCGGUGAAAUGCGUUGAUAUUCACAGGAACUCCGGUGGCGAAGGCGGCUCGCUGGAUCUCUUCUGACGCUGAGGCGCGAAAGCUAGGGGAGCAAACGGGAUUAGAUACCCCCGUAGUCC